ensembl:lncRNA
GCCGGGUUAGGCUCCGGUUCCCCGUGACCCCGCUUGGGACAAGCGGUUUCUCUGUGUGUGUGUUUCUGGUAAUUUUCAGCGUUUCGUUUAGUUUUUGAAAUUGUUCUUGGAAGGCACUUUCUAUACAGUUUCCCAUCAGCACCUCUGACUAACGGGGCACUGAGAUCAUAAGUGAAAGUGGCGCGAGUGUCCAAACUGCAGCGGUGGGGGAAAAACCGGCGCUGCCGCCAAGCUCUGCUCCGCGCUCCUCGGAAGCCCGCCGUGCGUUCGCACGCUCGCAGCGCUCGUGUCAAGCGGUGGCCGAGGGUCAUUAAAGGUGCUGUCAGCGGUAUUAAUAGCCGCUCGCUGAGUUCGAUUCGCCGUGUGCGGCGCAGUCAGGAGGGGAUCACGGGAGCAGUUUGUUCUGAUUCUUGUCACGCCAGACAGACGCCAGUACAGUAGAGCUGUUGGCGGCAGCGGCAGCGGCGCCCGGCCUGCCUGCGUUCCCGGUCCAAAGCCAGUCCGGAAGUCACCCCGACCGCUUCUUAUGUAUGAACAUGGCUGCUUGGAGGACAGCGCGAGCGUCCCUCGGCUCCUGGUGCGGCUCUUUAAAGCGGGCGCUCUUCCUCAGCGGCCUCUUCGUUACGCCUCCAGCUGGAAAACGGCGCUGUCCUCCGGCGCCUUCCUACACGGGAACGCUCCGGCUCGGCCGUCCCCGAAGGCAGAAACGAAGCGGGACCGUGUGCACCCCAGCUGAGUUUCAGUGACCACCAACCCUUUAUCACUUCUGUUCUACUCAGGGACACAUCUAGAGAGGCCAGACGGAGCCGCUCCAAUCUGGCAUGGGCUCGGAGGAGGGCGGUGGGCAAGCGGCAGACAGUAAAACUGCUCCACCCAAACCCUGACAUGCCUGUAAGACACUGUUUACACCCGUUUGUGUGUAAGUGUGCGGCUCAUGCUUGUUCAGCCACAGCCCUGGCGGGUCUGCUCCAGCUGGUUAGUGGACCAUCUGGUCCAGCACACGGUCAGCUGGACUCGUUUGACUCCCCCGAAGAGGGAUGGAAAGCUCUGGAACUGGGCCUCCGAGCGGCCAUGUAGCAGGGCUUCAGCUGUCCUUCGUUGUCAUAUAUACCAACAUGGAAUAUUUUUCCGCUCCGUUCUCUCCGAAGGACGACAGCAACUCGCGUAUCAUAUCUGAUCUCUUGUGUCCCGUUGCUGUGUGUUGAGUUUAUGGGCCUUUGAAUUCAUUACUCUUCUUUUGCUUGCAGGUUUGUCGUUGGUCCACUAUACAUGGGUGGCACGGUGGUACAGCGAGUAGCGUUGCUGUCUCACAGCGCCUGGGUGGUGUAAGAGGAUGUGGGUUUGAUCCCUGCUCAGUCUGUGUGGAGUUUCCAUGUUCUCCCUGUGUCUGUGUGGGUUUCCUCUGGGUGCUCUGGUUUCCUCCCACACUCCAAAGACAUGCUGUUCAGGUUCCCCCAUAGUAUGUGAGUGACACAGAGAGAGUGUGUUUCACUGAUGUAGGGAUGAGUGACCCAUUGUAAGUAGUGUAUCUAGCAGCGUAAGUCACCACGGUGAAUAAGGUGUGUGGGCUGGUGACACUGCAAAGUAUCCGUUGUAAGUCGCUUUGGAGAAAAGUGUCUGCUAAGUGAAUAAAUGUACAUAGUUCCAUUUGAGAAGAGGCUGC